CCAGGGGUGGUUCUGUCUCUCAGACGUCGAGGAUGAAUUCUCCAGCCUUGACAGCGCCCUGAGACUGGAGAAUUGCAGAAAGCGUUUUAUCAGGAAUUUUCAGAUAGAAAGCGUCGAGAACGUUAUCUAUAUCGUAUAGAAGUUCUGUGAUGUCUAAAACCCAGUUGUGAAGCAUCUCAUCCUCGUCUCGCUUUGCAUCUAUCUCUUCUAGGAAGCACCUUAGCCGGUUCAGCUCCGCUUGAAUUUGCUCGACUUUGCUGCUCACUCCCCCCAGGAAAUUCACUUCGCUGAUCACCAAAUCUUGCAUGUGCCUCAGAAGUUCAACCAGAAUUGAUGCAUCCAUUUUGUUUUCUGUAAAGUUUGAGUGAAACCAACCAAACAUGGGCAGGAAAAUGUUGUUUGUAAAAGAGGAAUCUUUGCCAUGGGGAUUAUAUUGCUGAAAUGUCAACCCUUAAUUUUCACCCCUAGAUUGCAGUUUCAAGAUUCCAGGAAGUAUCCUACGAAAACGACCUUGACUUCUUUAUCCUCGUGUGAGACAGAUUUUGAUAGCUCUACACAAAAUAUUUAUAUUUCUUAAAGUUUAAGGUUGCUUUUGGGAGGAAAUGGUCUUGUAAUCUAGUGGUUAAAAAUAAAGAGUGUUGUUUAUUAACAGGAAAAAA